rnacentral:rRNA from 1 species
CGGACGGGUGAGUAAUGUCUGGGGAACUGCCUGAUGGAGGGGGAUAACUACUGGAAACGGUAGCUAAUACCGCAUAAUGUCGCAAGACCAAAGAGGGGGACCUUCGGGCCUCUUGCCAUCGGAUGUGCCCAGAUGGGAUUAGCUAGUAGGUGGGGUAACGGCUCACCUAGGCGACGAUCCCUAGCUGGUCUGAGAGGAUGACCAGCCACACUGGAACUGAGACACGGUCCAG